AGUGGAGAAGGGUAGAGGGGCGGGCCCAUUAUCCACCGAGUUUGGAAGGCUGUGAUUGGUCCAAAGGGCGAGUCACAGACGGAUUUCUCGGUUAUCAAAAAAAAAAAAAAAAAAUAAAAAAAAAAUAGCAAACAUAGUUAGCAAGACCCUACCUAGUUAACUACACAUGUACACACGAUAUCUCAAUCAAAAAAAUGCUUAAAGAAGAAGAAAAGACAGUCAACUUAGUUUCAAAAUAACAUCAAACUUGAGAAAAGACAUUCCUUUCUGCAGCAACACACCAGUGUUUCGGUGUUUGUAUACUGGUUCUUCGGAAGGUUCUGAAUAUAGAAGCUUAUUUCAUGAACUUGGUUACAGAGUUGGUUUAUGAAAAGUUGAAACAACAGAAAAAAUAUCAAGUCAACUAGAACCAAAUGAAGGCGAAAGGCGAUUUCUCCGCAAUGGGUAUCUAUCAUGUUCUUCAACCAUAUUGUUGAUGGGUCAGCCUGAAAUGAGCUAAUUGUGAUUUCCUAUGAGUUCUCCACACUCAUUAUCUUUUGGCCGAUUAGUUACAUGUAAUAUGAGUCAGUUAUGCUUAUUUGGCCGAUUGGGGUUUCUAAUGGCAAGCUUCGUGACUAUCAGUCAUCCAAUCCCACCCAUUGUUUAUCCUUCUAUUUCUACAUUAUAAUUAGCUCCAAAAAAAUUGCCUCGCUAUUUUAAAUUUAAAAUUUUUAUAGUGAUUGUGCCUACAAAAAAAUCACGAGAGAUUACAUUUCUACAAAUCAUGAGAGAAUUUAAAAUUUUCAUAGUCACGGAUAGUGAUUGUGCCUACAAAAAAAUCACGAGAGAUUACAUUUCUACAAAUCAUGAGAGAAUUUAAAAUUUUCAUAGUCAGGGUACCUACAAAUGCACUCAAAUGUCACAACUUGCUUAUACAUAACAAGUCUGGAGGGAUUUUUUUUUUGAAACUACAAGGUAACAUUUCGACUAAGGAACAUAUCCAAUUGUACCAAAGUGCAAAAGAAUGUGUUGUGCAAUCAAGUGAAGGUCAUGAAAGCUCUGUGCAUGGAGUGGUCAUAUGUCAAACGAAUGAAGUUGAUUCAAGGGUCUAAGCUAUGCAAAAUUGCAGUUUAUAUUGCUAUUUUCAUCUUUGUGGCUGGUGUUUUUCUUAUCUUUUCCAGAAAGCAAAGAGAUAGGACUUUUCAUCUUUGUGGGUGGUGAUUUUCUUAUCUUUUCCAGAAAGCAAAGAGAUAAGACUAUGUUCUCUAAGUAAGAGCAGCUAAAGAGUAGUAAUAGAGACAUCCAUGUAACAAUUGAUUACUUGAAGCAAACUACUGCAAAAUAAAAAAAUGUACAUCAGGCAUCAAAUGACAACUUGAAUAAACUUCAAUAGAUGUAUCCGAGGACAAGUUUUGGGGUGUCUGACCCUAGAGAUGCUCAAGCUAAUUGCUUGUGGUACUAGUUGUCUAUUGCAGUCACUAGACUUAAUUUUAUGUUCUCUUCCCCUCCUCCUAAAUUGUGUUACUUUUUUUGUUAGAUUUUCAUCCUCUUUUGUGGACUUUAUUUUGGUAUAGCUCAUCUUCACACUAUUAGAAGUACAAAAUGAAAGUUGCAUAGCAAGUUGUAUAAUUGUCAACUGAAAAUACUAACUAACAAGGUUGCAAAUGAUACCAAGAAAGUCAUAAAGCAAUAAAAAAGACAAUGAUUAGGUCAUAAUGACUUUCUAACAUAUAGGUUCAAGUUUCACUUAAUUUGAUGGUAAACCAAAUACUGAACUUAAAACAGAAAGAACAACGAAGAAGAAAAAAGAACAUUAAGAUGGACUAAAUUGAACUAAAUAUAGAAAAAAUUAACUAUAGCAAUAUAAAUAUUAUCUAAUCUAGAUUUUGUUCCCUGAAAUGAGUAACAUAUGAGGCUAAUAAAAUUACAGCCACAAUUCACAAAUACUCUAAAUCAAAAAUCAUGUAACACCCCAUUAUGUAAACAAGCUCAAAAAUCUGACCUAGAAUACUUACUUCUGGAAUUUUUUGAAAGGAAGAAAACUUACCAAGAGCAACUAUUUCGAACUCUGUUAAGAAAAUCUUGAAGAAAGUAUACAGAUGGCUAGCAAACAAUAAACUUCAAACUCGAAUCUGCCACUUCCACAAAAAAAUCAUGAAAAAUGUUGAGAGAUAACCAAAAAUCUAACAAGAAUCUCUUUACGCAUUCAUGACAAAAUAAUCAGCCAACCAGAAUAAAUGAAUGAAUGAAUCCUAGCAACAUAUAAAGUGAGCUAACAAUUUCAUACUACGAGAUGACCCCAAAUGAUGAAAUGGAGGUUUUAAAUUUCCCAAGAUGCAUUUCUUCAAAGCAAAUUUCAACAACCAGAUGCUUAAAUUGAACAACCAGUAGAGUAAUUUCAACGAGGCAAAGUAACGACACAUGAAAGCAUUACACCAACUUCCAAACAUCAAGAAAACUUGAGAGAAGUAGUCUUAUCUUAAAAAAAAUACAGAUAACACUAGCAGAAAACAAAGCAGGCAGCAAACUGGAGAAGCAAGAGCAUUCAAAGUGCUUAACAUAUUAAACAAAUUCCGAACCUGGUAACAGGAAAAAAAUAUAGUAUUUAGAGAAGAUAACACCAUUAUUCAACCCAGCGAAAACAACAUUCGACGAAGAAGAGCAACCAAAACGAGAUGAGGAUGAGGUUGUUACCUGCAACGAACUCUAGAAAUCGAUUUCCAAACCAGCAGACUCAGAAAGCUUCAGCUCCUAACUUUUGGAUAUCUAAAUCUAUAUAUCCUUCUCUGUAUAUUUUCUGCCUCUCCAACGUCUAUAUAUUUUUCCCAGGCAAAGAGGAGGUUUAUAUAGGAGGACUGAAUUGGGAUGAAAUGAUUGAAAGCUGGAAUUGUAACGGGAAAGAGAGGAGAGUCGUCCGAUUCCUUGGUGAAGGACGAAGGAGAUGCAAGAUUGGAAAGUUCAACAACGGUCAUUGUACGGAGAUGGAUUGUCGCGAUUCGGGUCACCUUCUUCGCGUGAAGAAGAAAGGGUUUCUUUGGUAUUAUGGAGUGGGCUGCUCAAUUGUUU
rnacentral:lncRNA from 1 species